UUAAAUUGAAGAGUUUGAUCAUGGCUCAGAUUGAACGCUGGCGGCAGGCCUAACACAUGCAAGUCGAACGGUAACAGGAAGCAGCUUGCUGCUUUGCUGACGAGUGGCGGACGGGUGAGUAAUGUCUGGGAAACUGCCUGAUGGAGGGGGAUAACUACUGGAAACGGUGGCUAAUACCGCAUAACGUCGCAAGACCAAAGAGGGGGACCUUCGGGCCUCUUGCCAUCAGAUGUGCCCAGAUGGGAUUAGCUUGUUGGUGAGGUAACGGCUCACCAAGGCGACGAUCCCUAGCUGGUCUGAGAGGAUGACCAGCCACACUGGAACUGAGACACGGUCCAGACUCCUACGGGAGGCAGCAGUGGGGAAUAUUGCACAAUGGGCGCAAGCCUGAUGCAGCCAUGCCGCGUGUAUGAAGAAGGCCUUCGGGUUGUAAAGUACUUUCAGCGGGGAGGAAGGUGUUGUGGUUAAUAACCGCAGCAAUUGACGUUACCCGCAGAAGAAGCACCGGCUAACUCCGUGCCAGCAGCCGCGGUAAUACGGAGGGUGCAAGCGUUAAUCGGAAUUACUGGGCGUAAAGCGCACGCAGGCGGUCUGUCAAGUCGGAUGUGAAAUCCCCGGGCUCAACCUGGGAACUGCAUUCGAAACUGGCAGGCUUGAGUCUUGUAGAGGGGGGUAGAAUUCCAGGUGUAGCGGUGAAAUGCGUAGAGAUCUGGAGGAAUACCGGUGGCGAAGGCGGCCCCCUGGACAAAGACUGACGCUCAGGUGCGAAAGCGUGGGGAGCAAACAGGAUUAGAUACCCUGGUAGUCCACGCCGUAAACGAUGUCUACUUGGAGGUUGUGCCCUUGAGGCGUGGCUUCCGGAGCUAACGCGUUAAGUAGACCGCCUGGGGAGUACGGCCGCAAGGUUAAAACUCAAAUGAAUUGACGGGGGCCCGCACAAGCGGUGGAGCAUGUGGUUUAAUUCGAUGCAACGCGAAGAACCUUACCUGGUCUUGACAUCCACAGAAGAAUCCAGAGAUGGAUUUGUGCCUUCGGGAACUGUGAGACAGGUGCUGCAUGGCUGUCGUCAGCUCGUGUUGUGAAAUGUUGGGUUAAGUCCCGCAACGAGCGCAACCCUUAUCCUUUGUUGCCAGCGGUCCGGCCGGGAACUCAAAGGAGACUGCCAGUGAUAAACUGGAGGAAGGUGGGGAUGACGUCAAGUCAUCAUGGCCCUUACGACCAGGGCUACACACGUGCUACAAUGGCGCAUACAAAGAGAAGCGACCUCGCGAGAGCAAGCGGACCUCAUAAAGUGCGUCGUAGUCCGGAUUGGAGUCUGCAACUCGACUCCAUGAAGUCGGAAUCGCUAGUAAUCGUGGAUCAGAAUGCCACGGUGAAUACGUUCCCGGGCCUUGUACACACCGCCCGUCACACCAUGGGAGUGGGUUGCAAAAGAAGUAGGUAGCUUAACCUUCGGGAGGGCGCUUACCACUUUGUGAUUCAUGACUGGGGUGAAGUCGUAACAAGGUAACCGUAGGGGAACCUGCGGUUGGAUCACCUCCUUACCUGAAAGAA
rnacentral:rRNA from 1 species